GAUGAAGAACGUAGCGAAAUGCGAUAAGUAAUGUGAAUUGCAGAAUUCAGUGAAUCAUCGAAUCUUUGAACGCACAUUGCGCCCGCCAGCACUCUGGCGGGCAUGCCUGUCCGAGCGUCAUUUCAACCCUCAGGGCCCCUUCGGGGGACCUGGCGUUGGGGAUCGGCCCGCCCCCGUGCGGCGCCGUCCCCGAAAUAUAGUGGCGGUCUCGCUGCAGCCUCCCCUGCGUAGUAGCACACCUCGCACUGGAGAGCGGCGCGGCCACGCCGUGAAACCCCCAACUUCUGAAUGUUGACCUCGGAUCAGGUAGGAAUACCCGCUGAACUUAAGCAUAUCAAUAAGCGGAGGA
rnacentral:misc_RNA from 1 species